rnacentral:lncRNA from 1 species
GACAGGAUACAAAAUUACAUGGAGUAUUUGAUAUCUUACUUAUGAAAACAUGCUGAAUAUAUUUUUUAAUUUACAACGUACAAAGUGCAGAAUACUCAUAUGUAACUCAUGAGAUUAAUCACUUUACCUCUAACAUCAGGUAUGAAUAUUGUUUUCACUUACAGUAUAUAUACAUAACACAAAAUAAUCAUAUAUAUAUAAACGGCAUCUUGGUGUAUAUUUCUGCUAUGCGCGAGAUUUUAGAAUGGGCCGAACCACAUAGAUUUAUCGUACGCGACCUUAUCUUGCAUUUCUGUAAGAGAUUAUUUCCAUGGAUUAACCCUGUAAACU